GCAUUCAGUUGCCAUCGGGUAAUGCCGGGCACUCUGGAAGGACUGCCAUCGACAAGGAAUGGAGGAAGGUGGGGAGUGACGUCAAGUCAUCAUGGCCCUUAUGUCCAGGGCGACACACGUGCUACAAUGGCCGGCACAACGGGAAGCGAGUUCGCGAGGACGAGCGGAUCCCUCAAAGCCGGUCGCAGUUCGGAUUGAAGUCUGCAACUCGACUUCAUGAAGCUGGAAUCGCUAGUAAUCGUGGAUCAGCCAAGCCGCGGUGAAUACGUUCCCGGGCCUU
rnacentral:rRNA from 1 species